rnacentral:misc_RNA from 1 species
AAAAGAAAGGCCAUUACUGACCCACGCCAAAAGGCAAAUGGUGGAUUGUGCAGAUUAUUGAGUGUGUUUAUUUGUUAAUAGGUGGAAAAGUGAAAUUGCACCAUGGAUAAACAGUACUCUGUUAAAUUCUUUACUUCAUUCGUUGAAGCCAUGCAGAAGUUCUGUCGGGAGUACAUUGAUUUUGAGCAGUGUGUGGAACUGAGUGGCUACCUGGCUGUGGAGAUAGACAAUCAUAAAAAGGAACGGUAUGUGCUCAGUGAGAUGCUUCAGAGUUCAGGAAACGUUAUUAGUGAGAGUUACUGUACGAAGGCAUUCAAGACCCUGCGUAAAGAACCGUCUGUGUCAGCGCGAGGCAGUGAAAACAAAGUUCCAAGUGGUGCACUAAGAACUUCACAGUCACAUGCGGAUGAAGUGACGAUUGUUCUGCGAGAUAGUCCGGACAUGGUCACUUCCCAUGCCAGCACGCCACGUCACCAGAGGUUUUCUAGUCACCGUUCAGGUGCCUUUAACCAUGGACAGAGGGGUUAUUCUUCAUCUGGCUUGAGCCGCAGUCCUGUUCAUGGGAGGGAAUCAAUAAAGUUAGGAAACCCGUUUGAACAGCAGUUGAGACAUGUUCCUGAUCAGAUACAGCCUCGAUCCAUCGACUCCUCGUCGAGAAACGACACUGCAUUCUCCUCCAGCCCAGCCUCGGGUCAGAAACGAACAUCCAUCGAAUUUAACCAUCAGCAGGGCUCACCAGCUGCUAAAAGAGACAAAGUUGAUCCUGGCAGCAGCCCGGCUGAUGUGUCCUCUAUGAGGACUGUUUAUUCUGAAGGAGGAGACUCCUCUUUGACGCAGCAGCAAACAUCCUCCCUGUCGUUCCCAUCUCCAAGCUCAUCACAGGCCACCGGUGAAAGUAUUCGCUUGCCACUGUCUGCCACAGUGAAAGAGGAAGAUGUGAGCUCUGUGAUAUCGCUAGACACUCAGGACAAUGUGCAAGAUCCUACUGAUAGUGACUUUGGUGAUCGUUUACAAGACUCUUUGUCUCUUGGCUUGGACUCCUCGGUUAAUUAUUCGAACAGUUCACAGGGAGUCAUUGAUGACGGUUCACAGUCUGCUACUGCUGGCUCCUCAGGUUUCAUGUCACAGUUCAAGAUUGUAUCUCUUGGUAGUGCAAGUGACAGCAGAGACGAUCAAACUUGCCCCAUUUGUGGCAAGAUGUUUGGAUCAAGUACAUACUUAAAAGAACACAUGCAAAAGCACAAUGAGCGAAUGGCUUGCUGCUUCUGUGGAAAGAGCUAUUCUUUUAGGUCCGCUCUAAACCGACACAAGAGAACUUGUCACCUAAGACUUCAGUGAAAUCACUGACCACUGAACUUUCACUGUAUGACUGUAAUAUCAGUGUCAUACACUGUAUUAGCUGUUAGAUGUGUCUAUCGAAUAUCACUGUAAUACUAAAGUAUAUACCACUGUGUAAUGGCCCUGUCACACUAUAGUGUAUGAGAGAAAUGUAUGAGUUGCGUAUGAAAAUUCAUAAAAUAAUUUUCAUACGCACAAGAAGGUCUUAAAAAUGCAGAAUUGUGCGUAUACUUACCGUAUUUAACCUAUGAGUAGCGUAUGGCCAGCGUAUGACCAGCGAAUGUCGGGAAAUGUUAGCCCAUGGACAGCGUACUCUGCGUAUGGCUAGCGUAUGAGUAGCGCAUGUCCAGCGUAUCUCGAUCACGUGACAAAGUGCCUAUAUCAACGGCAGUCUUGAAUGUGGUGAAAUGCCAAAUUCAUCAGAUCAUGCUGGUGUUGGAGAAGAGCUACCUCCAUCGUCGUCCACGAAGAAGUGAAGAAGAGCUAGAAAUGGGAACAUAUAUGUACACUUUCUCAAAAUGCUGGCCAGACGCCAAUCAUACGCUAGUUGUACGUUAAUAACGUUACUCGAUCGUCAGGCAUACACCAAGAUGUCUAUAUACGUUGCAGAUACGUUAGAAGUACGUUACUCAUGCGCUAUCAAUACGCUAGCUAUACGGUACAUCUUCAUGCCAGCGUAUGUCCGCGUACUCGACCUAGGAGUCGCGUACCUCUAGCGUAUUCAGCGUCUGCCUAACGUAUGCUUAGUGUAUGCUUAGCGUAUAAACCAUACGUCGGAGUACGCACAAAAUUUUUAAACAUGCUUAAAAAUAAUUUUCUACCUCGCCGUAUGCCAGUGUAUGCCAGCGUGCUUCAAACGUAUACAACCUAUGCCUAACGUACCCCUAGCGUAUGUCAGCAUAUACCAGCGUACGAGUGAUAUUUUAUCAUACGCUGACAUACGCUAGUACGAUACGCUACAGUGUGACAGGGCCAUAAUAUCAGUGUCAUACACUGUAUUAGCUGUUAGAUGUGUCUAUCGAAUAUCACUGUAAUACUAAAGUAUACACCACUGUGUAAUAUCAGUUGUAUACACAGUAUUGGCUGUUAGAUGUGUCUGCCGUAUAUCACUUGUAAUAUGAGUGUCAUACAAUGUAUUGGCGGUCUAUUGAUAUCACUGUAAUUGUUGACUGUAAAAGCCAAUUUUGUCCACUUUAUCAAGUUGAUCAGAUUUAUAUAUUAUGCAUUUAACAAAUCAGAUUAUUGGUAUUGUGAAAAGCAGGUGAAAAUACAAAUACCAUUAAUGAUGCAAAUCAUUAUUGAUAAAAAAAAAAAAAAUUCUUAAAAAAGUUGUGUGGGUUUUUUUGUGGGUUUUUUUGCCUUCCUCGAGUGAAUCUAACAAAACUAACAAGUGAUCAUGGCCAUAUCUGCACAAUGCGGAGUCAAAUAGUCAUUUGGUAAGAUAGUGUUUCAUUUCAUGAAUCUUUGUCUAGUACCAUGUCUAUAGGAAGACUGCCACUUCUACAUGAAGAGAUCCUUGCACCACCACAAAGAGGACUGCCACCCAAACUAGUUUACAAAGUCAAAACUAGGUCAGGAGAGGUCUCCUUGGAAUAAGUACAGCUUUGAGGUUAUCCACUCGUGAUUCAGUCAUAACAGUGCUGAUAUCAAGUGUUAAGAGAAAGAUGGGUACGGUUUUGACUGUGCAGCCAUCUGCAGAUACAUCUCACCAAGGUUCCUCCUCUC